GAGUUUGAUCCUGGCUCAGGACGAACGCUGGCGGCGUGCUUAACACAUGCAAGUCGAACGGAAAGGCCCUUCGGGGUACUCGAGUGGCGAACGGGUGAGUAACACGUGGGUGAUCUGCCCUGCACUCUGGGAUAAGCCUGGGAAACUGGGUCUCAUACCGGAUAGGACCGCAUGCUUCAUGGUGUGUGGUGCAAAGCUUUUGCGGUGUGGGAUGAGCCCGCGGCCUAUCAGCUUGUUGGUGGGGUAAUGGCCUACCAAGGCGGCGACGGGUAGCCGGCCUGAGAGGGUGACCGGCCACACUGGGACUGAGAUACGGCCCAGACUCCUACGGGAGGCAGCAGUGGGGAAUAUUGCACAAUGGGCGCAAGCCUGAUGCAGCGACGCCGCGUGAGGGAUGACGGCCUUCGGGUUGUAAACCUCUUUCAGUAGGGACGAAGCGAAAGUGACGGUACCUACAGAAGAAGGACCGGCCAACUACGUGCCAGCAGCCGCGGUAAUACGUAGGGUCCGAGCGUUGUCCGGAAUUACUGGGCGUAAAGAGCUCGUAGGUGGUUUGUCGCGUUGUUCGUGAAAACUCACAGCUUAACUGUGGGCGUGCGGGCGAUACGGGCAGACUAGAGUACUGCAGGGGAGACUGGAAUUCCUGGUGUAGCGGUGGAAUGCGCAGAUAUCAGGAGGAACACCGGUGGCGAAGGCGGGUCUCUGGGCAGUAACUGACGCUGAGGAGCGAAAGCGUGGGUAGCGAACAGGAUUAGAUACCCUGGUAGUCC
rnacentral:rRNA from 1 species